rnacentral:lncRNA from 1 species
GAGACCUGUAAGAUCAUGGUGGACAUGCUGGAUGAAGAUGGGAGCGGCAAGCUGGGGCUGAAGGAGUUCUACAUCCUCUGGACGAAGAUUCAGAAAUACCAAAAAAUUUACCGAGAGAUCGACGUGGACAGGUCGGGAACCAUGAAUUCCUAUGAGAUGCGGAAGGCUUUGGAAGAAGCAGGUUUCAAGCUGCCCUGUCAACUUCAUCAAGUCAUCGUUGCCCGGUUUGCAGAUGACGAACUCAUCAUCGACUUUGACAACUUUGUGCGGUGUUUGGUUCGGCUGGAAAUACUAUUCAAGAUAUUCAAGCAGCUGGACCCUGAGAACACUGGAACGAUACAGCUCGACCUUAUCUCGCAGGUCCACAAGCACGUUUACCUCGGGACCACAUCGCAAUCCACCACCUACGCGACUUCUCUCCUUCCUCCACACACCCAAGGAACCUUUGUUGUGCACAGGCUGCACACAAGAUAUCCAAGCCCACCGAAGCUUGUUUUUCACCUUCCUACUUCCCUCUCCCAAGUGCUGGGAACAUGGGCAUGACCUAUAAGGCACCUGGGUUAAACCUGUAAAAGAGCCUGAGGCACAAAUCUGGAACACACUAUCCUGAGUUUAAACCUGUCAACACACUCAUAAGUAUACUAAAGUGCACUGUCAAUAUGGCUGUGCGUCUAAAUAAAUUUAAGCCUGGUGUUUUUAAAAA